rnacentral:rRNA from 1 species
AUUGAACGCUGGCGGAAUGCUUUACACAUGCAAGUCGAACGGCAGCACGGGGGCAGCCCUGGUGGCGAGUGGCGAACGGGUGAGUAAUACAUCGGAACGUGCCCGGUCGUGGGGGAUAACGUAGCGAAAGUUACGCUAAUACCGCAUACGAUCUGAGGAUGAAAGCGGGGGACCUUCGGGCCUCGCGCGAUCGGAGCGGCCGAUGUCAGAUUAGGUAGUUGGUGGGGUAAAGGCCUACCAAGCCGACGAUCUGUAGCUGGUCUGAGAGGGCGACCAGCCACACUGGGACUGAGACACGGCCGAGACUCCGAGGGGAGGCGGCAGUGGGGAAUUUUGGACAAGGGGCGCAAGCCUAACCCAGCCAUCCCGCGUGAAGAAAGAAGGCCUUCGGUUUGUAAACUGUUUUUGUAGGGAAGGAAAAGGCUGUGGCUAAUCCGGGGGGCUCAUGACGGUACGGUAAGAAAAAGCCCCGGCAAACUACGGG